rnacentral:lncRNA from 1 species
UGCAUUUUCACCUACUCUGUGUGAUCCUCCAUUUAAACUAGAGAGGCAGCAUCUAAAAGCACCACCCAGGCUGGCAGAGAGGAGCUAUGUAAGAUGGAAGGAUACAGGGAAGUCUCUGCAAGGAUUAAAGCUUAUCAGUGGGAAUAAUAAAUUCCCUAGCCGGGGAGUUAUCUUGAUGCUAGGCUACAGAGCAUGACUUUCCCCACGGCACCUGUCCCCGAAAUGGCACAGUGUGAAUGCUGAGCGCGUGCAAUUGCGAAAGAGAGUGUGGCAGACGGCUCCUGAGAGCUGCCGCUUCCAGCAUGCUCGAUCCUUUCCUGGCUCCUGCUCCUGCUGCUGUUCCUCCUCCCCUGGCUGGGGCGCAGGAAUGCAGCAAAGGAAACUCCCGCAGCGAGCGCCCUGAUGGGGGGAUCCAGCUUCCCUUUCCCAGACACACAGCUGACCCGGACGGCGUUCCCGGACGAAGGCAAGUGGAAAGCUCCCUUGAGCAGCGCGGGGCAUGCUUUGGUGACCUUGUGCAAACACACGGCUUCAGCAAGGUAAUGUGUUUAGCUAAUGGCGAUGACACCUCCUUGCAGUUUUUUCCUCCUUUUCAGAAGAAAAGUGGUCAAGCAAGCUCCGUUUUCUCCAAUUUUUUUUUCAUGCACUGGUUUCUAUAAAGACUUAGAAUGGUCCAUAAAAAUUUCGGAAAUAUAUAUUGAAAAUAUAGUUGGAGAAGGAAGAUCUAUAUUCCUGGAGAAGGGUAGAAGAAAGAUUCAUUAGAGGAUAUCUCUAGCAUUCACUUAAUUUUAUUAUUUUAAGUGACUAUUACCUUCAUUUUGCUUUCUGUUGCAUUCUAGCACUUAUUUAAU